AUACUUACCUUGCAGGGGAGAUACUAUGAUCACAAAGGUGAUUUUCCCAGGGCGAAGGUGUCCAUUGCACUGGGGAUCUGCUCACCCCUGUGAUGUCCCCACAUGGGGGGAGCUCAACUGCAUAAUUUGUGUUAGUGGGGGUUGCGUUCACACUCACCUGAC
rnacentral:snRNA from 1 species